rnacentral:tRNA from 1 species
GGGCUCGUAGCUCAGUUGGAAGAGCAUUCGGUUCGCAACCGAAAGGUCGCCGGUUCGACUCCGGUCGGGUCCA